rnacentral:rRNA from 1 species
GACGAACGCUGGCGGCGUGCCUAAUACAUGCAAGUAGAACGCACAGUUUAUACCGUAGCUUGCUACACCAUAGACUGUGAGUUGCGAACGGGUGAGUAACGCGUAGGUAACCUGCCUGGUAGCGGGGGAUAACUAUUGGAAACGAUAGCUAAUACCGCAUAAUAUUAAUUAUUGCAUGAUAAUUGAUUGAAAGAUGCAACUGCAUCACUACCAGAUGGACCUGCGUUGUAUUAGCUAGUAGGUGAGGUAACGGCUCACCUAGGCGACGAUACAUAGCCGACCUGAGAGGGUGAUCGGCCACACUGGGACUGAGACACGGCCCAGACUCCUACGGGAGGCAGCAGUAGGGAAUCUUCGGCAAUGGACGAAAGUCUGAACGAGCAACGCCGAGUGAGUGAAGAAGGUUUUCGGAUCGUAAAGCUCUGUUGUAAGAGAAGAACGGGUGUGAGAGUGGAAAGUUCACACUGUGACGGUAUCUUACCAGAAAGGGACGGCUAACUACGUG